UGUCAUGAUCUUCAUUUUUUUGAAUGUUCAAAGUGUAGACAUGAACCCCAGUUAUUCUCAUAUUUCUUUUAAAAAAAAAAAUUGAAUGUUAGCGUUUGAUGCCUGCAUUCUGCUGAAUCUGAAUUCUUGAACCACUUACAGAAGAUGGUUUCACCUGGGUCAUGGGUGUAUUUCUGUUGUGGCACCAAUGCCUGGUCAGAGUAGGUGCUCUGCAAUAACUUUUGAAGUGACCGAAGAUGAGAAGUAAAUUCCAUUUGUGGAGGGAACUGGGAAAAUCAAGUUCUGAGUCCUAUUUGAAGCCAGGCUGUGACAGUUGAAUCAGGAUGAAAACCUGGAUUCCACCUUCUGGAUCAGGGGUUCAGAACAGACAAAAAGUGAAAGAAGUGAGACCUCAGGGCUGGGCUGAGAUGUCAUCGUUGCCAGGUCAACGGAGGGGCCACCCCCUUGCUGCGGGUCCAUGGCCUGGGAACCCAGCGGGACAGCGGCAACCCCCAGGGACCACAUUCUAUUUGUCCUCUAGGGCCCCAUGGUCUCCUCAUCCGUACAGGGCUGGUGCGGGGUUCUGGGUGCUCAGAGCUACAGACAUACCUCCCAUCCUCUCUGCACUUCUCUGCCUUGGCCAGAUGUGGAGGGCAGGAGGGCACUGCAGGAGGGCACAGGACGCCCACCCUCCCUCCAGUUCACAGGAACCUCAGGGCUUGGGCAGCUGGAGAGCCAGGGAUCCUGACUGGAAGAGAAUCAGCCCAGGCUUUCGCUGGCAAAUCUCUCACUUCCAGGGCUGUGUCUGGGCCAGAGGACCCUGAAUGGUGCAGGGAACUUCCAGAAACCCACCAUCUCAGCUGAGACUCUUUUAGGCAGCUUCAGAGUGCCCAUGUGAAUACACUGUAUGCAGAGUUGGAAUGUGCAACUCUAACCCUUGGGCUCUGCUGUCUGUGCUUACUCAUGCUGGCUCUUUGGUAAAAGAACGUUGCCAUGAGCUUGGAAUAGAGGAGAACCCAUUCUCAAGGCUGGAGAAGUCAACGGCAACACACUCUAGUAUUCUUGCCUGGAGAACUCCAUGGACAAGGAGCCUGGUGGGCUACAAUCGAUAGGGUCACAGAGUCGGACGUGACUGAGGGACUAAGACUAUUCUCAAGGCUCUGGACUUGAAAGGUAUGACACUUUCCCAUUCGUACAGAGAUAAAAAUUUGCAGAACAGACAGAAACUUUUGUCUUCCUGGGGGCUUAAAGGGAUAUUAUGACCAGACCUACAUGGAACGCUUUGAAAACCAAGGAUUUAGCAUUAAAAGUUUUCCACAGUGGAGUGGACAUAAUUAUACCUAUGGCUGAUCUGUGUUGAUGUAUGGUAGAAGCCAUCACAGUAUUGUAAUUGUCCCUUCAUUAAAAAUAAAUAAGUUAAGGGGAAACAA